GUGGGCGGGACUUAACGGGACCGUGUGUGUGGCUUACUUAGCAAGCAGGCAUUCAAUUGGUGGGUUUGCUGUUGUAGGUAGCGGAGCUUCGAAGUCAGCGACUGUAGUGUUAAAUAUUGAAACCCGGAUGAACCGGAUUCGGAUCCACGUGCUGCCGUCCAGCAGGGGCCGAGCGUCGCAGGCCGCGCGCGCCCACGAGCCCCAGACGUGCGCGUUCACGCAGAGAGCGUGCUCUCAGUCUCGCAUAGAUGGCUGGGACUUCUGCAUCAAGCACAUCCUGGAAGACAAAAACGCACCUUACAGGCAGUGCAGCUAUGUCUCCAGUAGGAACAGCAAGCGCUGUCCCAAUGCUGCGCCAAAACCAGAAAAGAAGGACGGAGUUGCAUUUUGUGCAGAACAUGCACACAGGAAUGCUUUGGCUCUGCAGGCACAGAUGCGCAAGGCGUCCUCUGGACCGUCCCCUGAGGUCCUGCUGUCUCAGCUCAGUGGCUACAACAGGAUGGAGUUGGGCACUCUCGGUCAAGAUAGCCGCAGUGAAGCCAACCGCAUUCUAGACGAAGAGAGCUGGAGUGAAGACGAGCAGGACCCGGUGGUGCUCGAUCAGACGUGGAGAGGAGAUCCUGACAGCGAAGCAGACAGCGUAGACAGCGACCAUGAAGAUCCUCUCAAGCAUGCUGGGGUGUACACUGCCGAAGAAGUUGCCCUGAUCACGCGUGAAAAGCUCAUCAGACUCCAGUCACUCUACAUAGACCAGUUUAAGCGUCUGCAGCACUUGCUGAAGGAGAAAAAGAGACGCUACUUACAUAACCGCAAGAUCGAGCAUGACACGAUAGGCACCAGUCUUUUAACAGGACCUGAGGGUCUGUCCAUGAAAGAGAGGGAAAAUCUGAGGAAGCUGAAGGCGUUACGUCGCUACCGGCGGCGCUACGGAGUGGAGGCUCUGCUACACAGGCAACUCCGGGAGCGCAGACUGGCUGUUACUGAGGGAGGAACCCCACAGGCUCACUCGGUACGCCCCAGCCAGAGGUGCAUUUCCUUUGUGGAGGGGACGCGAUGUUCAAACCCCUGUCUGCCGAUGACCCGGCACUGCGUGUCUCAUAUUUACCAAGACAGUAGCCAGGUGUUGUUUAAGAUGUGCCCAGGCCUAAAGGACGUGCCCUGUGACAGGCCGGUGCACAUGGGUCAGUCAGAGGAGCCACGAUGCCCGCUGCAUCUCUCCCUGCCUCCCCCCAUGUACCAGCCCGAGCAGGAGCCACUGGCACCGGAGCAGCUCUCUUUAGCACCAACAGACAUGUACCUGAGUGCCGCCGAGCUUCAGCCCACAGAGAGCCUGCCACUCGAGUUCAGCGAUGAUCUGGAUGUGGUAGGUGAUGAGGAGAUGCAGUGCCCUCCGUCACCACUGCUCUUCGACACUGCCCUUGCACUGGAAGACCAGACCAUCCGUGCCAUUGCUGAGGCUCCUAUGGACAUUCUGACCUCAGGACAGGACCCCGAGCUCUCUGAGACGGACGACAUGUCUGCAGCAGACCAGUAGCUUGGAAAAGUGCAGUUUACGUGCUAAGGACAUGCUUUGGAGAUUUACAGCAGCUGUAUCAGAGGUAUCUGUAACAGCAGGAGAUGAGGAUGCCAUACAGAAUUCAUCAAAGGACCCUGACACAAUAACAACAGUCUCUACAUCCUGAGCACCUUGUGCACUGAUUUUCUCAGCUGUCUAUAGACUUUUACAGAACCUUCUGCACCGGCGUCCGAUCAAAAGCCAUAUUUAACAAAAGCCGACAUGUUGUUUGAGGAAACGUUGCACCCUGUUUAUAGAAAAUGUUCUGAAGUAUAUUCCAAAAGUGCUAAUACAUUAAUACUUGUAGCCCAUAUGAGUCUGUCACUUUCUUUGGAAAUAAAACAGAAACUAUGUCGUCCUGG